rnacentral:rRNA from 1 species
UACGGGGGGGGCAAGCGUUGUUCGGAAUUACUGGGCGUAAAGGGCUCGUAGGCGGCCAUCUAAGUCGGACGUGAAAUCCCUCGGCUUAACCGGGGAACUGCGUCUGAUACUGGAUGGCUUGAGUUUGGGAGAGGGAUGCGGAAUUCCAGGUGUAGCGGUGAAAUGCGUAGAUAUCUGGAGGAACACCGGUGGCGAAGGCGGCAUCCUGGACCAACACUGACGCUGAGUGAGCGAAAGCCAGGGGAGCAAACGGG